GGGCCGCACAAGCGUGAGUAUGUGGUUAAUUCGAUGCAACGCGAGACUUACCUGGUCUUGACAUCCCGGAGACCCUUAGGAACUAGGGGUGCUUCCAUCUGAGAAUCUGGAGACAGGUGCUGCAUGGCUGUCGUCAGCUCGUGUCGUGAGAUGUUGGGUUAAGUCCCGCAACGAGCGCAACCCUUGCCUUUAGUUGCCAGCAGUUCGGCUGGGCACUCUAAAGGGACUGCCGGUGUUAAACCGGAGGAAGUGGGGAUGACGUCAAGUCCUCAUGGCCUUUAUGACCAGGGCUACACACGUACUACAAUGGCCGAUACAAAGGGCAGCGACACUGCGAGGUGAAGCCAAUCCCGUAAAAUCGGUCUCAGUCCGGAUUGGAGUCUGCAACUCGACUCCAUGAAGUUGGAAUCGCUAGUAAUCGUGGAUCAGCAUGCCACGGUGAAUACGUUCCCGGGCCUU
rnacentral:rRNA from 1 species